rnacentral:rRNA from 1 species
GAUGAACGCUGGCGGCGUGCCUAAUACAUGCAAGUCGAGCGGACAGACGAGGCUUUUGCUCUUCUGACGUUAGCGACGGACGGGUGAGUCACACGUGGAUAACCCACCUAUAAGACUGAGGUAACUUCGAGAAACCGGAGCUACUACCGGAUAAUAUAUUUAACCGCAUGGUUCAAUAGUGAAUGACGGGUAUGCUGUGAUCUCUAGCUGUAUGCGCGCCGCAUUAGCUAGUUGGUAAGGUAACGGCUUACCAUGGCAACGAUGCGUAGCCGACCUGAGAGGGUGAUCGGCCACACUGGAACUGAGACACGGUCCAGACUCCGACGGGAGGCAGCAGUAGGGAAUCGUCCGCGAUGGGCGGAAGCUUGACGGAGCAACGCCGCGUGAGUGAUGAAGGUCUUCGGAUCGUAUAACGCUGUUAGUAGUGAAGAACAAAUGUGUAAGUAACUAUGCACGUCUUGACGGUACCUAGUCAGAAAGCCACGGCUAACUACGUG